UAGGGCUGAGAUGGGCCCCUUAGUGAUUCUGGUGGGGCUGCCUGUUUAUUUAGCUGCCUGCUACCCAUGGUCUCCAAAGCCUGCCCUCGCUGGGGAUUUUCCAUCUGGCUUCCAGUGACUCAGGCUCCCGCAGGGUGCUGGCCUUACCAGGCAGCAGAGAUGGCCCCACGAUUAAUAUUGAUACACGCCAGCUGCUGAGGCCUCUUUCGCAAGCAAGACAAAUAAUAUUAACUACCACAGCAACCGGCCUCUGAGCCGCACUGCCCUUAGGGUUUGCAAGCACUUUCCAUUCCAGCUUUCCAUCCUCUGAACAGGUGAUCUGUGUCGGCCCCUCCCAUGCCCCAAGCACAACCAGGCAGGGCACCUACUCUCUGUCUUGUGUGGUGGGGGGUGGGGGGAGGCAAAGGAUCAGAUGAAGACAAUGGGUUGUAACUGCAUGAUAGUGAGAAGCUGAAAUGCGCCGGGGCUGAGGGGCGCCUCCUAACCAGCCUAGCACUCCAGGCCAGAACGCCAGGGAGACAAGCCUCCAGUUUUUAGAAAACAAAACUGAAGUUCAUCGACUUGUUCAUUCAAUAAGCAAUGACUGAGCACCUGCUAUGAGCCAGGCACUGUUCUAGACACUCAGGGUGUAUAGUGAACAAAACAAAGCCCCACCCUGCUGAUGGCAAAGGGAAGGUAGACAAGAAGCCAAUAAAGAAAUAAAGAUCAAGCCUUACUUUCUGAAAAACCAAAAGAAAGAAACAGUGAAAGAAUGCGCUAUGGAAUGGAGACAAAUGUUGGGGGAAACAGAAAGUAAGUGUGGGGCUGGAGCGGGAGGGGCAUGAGGUUUUGGAGAGGAUGAUCAAGGCACUCCUAUCCCCAGGGGAGAGGUGGUGCCAGUGUCUCAGGACAGGGUGACAGUUCAGAGAGGUGACCUGACAACGUGCCUGGCCACCCCAAGCUUCUGGAUAGAGAGAGUUUUGUACUCAGUUCUUACAGAGUAUUGUCUUGUCCCAGAAGUGCUUUUGGAAAUAGCAUCAUUCAUUCAUUCAUUCAUUCAUUCAUCCAUUCCUUCACUGAGUCUCUACUCUGAGCUGGACAGGCAAGGAUACACCCUGGCUCCUGCCCCCACGGUACUCAUGGUCCAGGCUCGAAGUCCCUGUGUCAUGAUCAUGGUUGGGGCAGCAGGACCCAGUUCUCCCCUGAGAUUAAGUCUCAGAAGACACCUGGUUAACCAGCCAAAGUCUGCAUGAGGGUGACACUGGCUGGAGAGUGCCGCCCACAGGGAAUGCUCAGGUGGUGCCUUAUACCUCGUUGGAGCCUUCUGAGUGGGAAAGGCACCUCCCUGUGUGGCUCCUGCAGGUGCUGCUGGGGCCUAGCACCCUAGCACCUAUCUCAAGAAGUCAGACAUGGCUGCUGGGGCAGGUGCAUGCUGGUCUUGGACUCUCAGCAUCUGUUGUCACUCCUUUCGGUAAAGCAUGCUAUUUCCUCUUGGGGAGCCACAAUCCGCAGUCUGUGUACUCGAUCCCUCCUGGGCUUGGUAGCCUGAAUGCCCCAUGGUCACAAUGAUAUGUGCAGGGUGUGUGCCUGGCUCUGGCCUGGGCAGUGGUGACCUUGCAACCCCCUGAUCCCAGUGGCUGGGCCAGGAGUGAUUACACAACCAGACAGAUGCAGGCAGCACAGAUGUCCUGACUUGUAAGCGAGCACUGGGAAGCAGUCUGCACGGGGGACCCUGUCUCUCUGCUGGAAGGAAAGCCAGGAGGAUGUGCGCCUGUCUUGGCAGCUGCCAUCUCACCGCUGUGAGAGAAGCUGCUGAGAGUGGAGGUGCAGCAAGUAGAGCCCAGAGAUGGGAAGAAAGAGACUGGCUCCUGCUGGGUCUAACCGGACCCCUGUGGAUCAAACCACAUCUGAUUCUCCUUAUGAGCCCUGCAGUGCACUGCCCAGAUGCCCUGGGAGGGCUGGUGCAUUUUGGUGUGCCCCCCUCCCAGCAGCAGUGUGCCUUUGUCUCCAACUGCAACCCCUGCAGCCUGCCCUCUGGCUAUGGGUCCAGCAGCUUUGCCCACACAGGAGCAGCCAGGAAGGCCAGGCAGUUUGCUCCCUUCCUCCUCCCACAUGGUGGCACUGAUGACAGGUGUCCCAGCUCCUUUGCCUCCAAUGGGCUCUAACAACUUACACCCCGGAGCUCCCUGCAGGACCAAGCUGAGGCUGCCCCCAGCAGGACAUUGCCUGAAACUGCUACCCUGGCUUUGCUUCCUGCAAACAUCCCUGUUUCCCAGAAGCACUUCCUUAAUAAAUCACUUGCAUUGAACCCUUA